UACGGAGGGGGCUAGCGAUGUUAGGAAUUACUGGGCGUAAAGCGCGCGUAGGCGGACCUGCAAGUCGGGUGUGAAAGCCCGAGGCUCAACCUCGGAACUGCCUUCGAUACUGCGGGUCUCGAGUCCGGGAGAGGUGAGUGGAAUUCCUAGUGUAGAGGUGAAAUUCGUAGAUAUUAGGAAGAACACCAGUGGCGAAGGCGGCUCACUGGCCCGGUACUGACGCUGAGGUGCGAAAGCGUGGGGAGCAAACAGG
rnacentral:rRNA from 1 species